rnacentral:rRNA from 1 species
GACGAACGCUGGCGGCGUGCUUAACACAUGCAAGUCGAACGGUGAAGCGCCUUCCUUUUUGGUGGGUGUGGAUGAGUGGCGAACGGGUGAGUAACACGUGAGUAACCUGCCCCCUUUUUCUGGAUAACCGCAUGAAAGUGUGGCUAAUACGGGAUAUUCUGGGUCUGUCGCAUGAUGGGUCUGGGAAAGAUAUUGUUUCGGUGGGGGAUGGGCUCGCGGCCUAUCAGCUUGUUGGUGGGGUGAUGGCCUACCAAGGCAGUGACGGGUAGCCGGCCUGAGAGGGUGGACGGUCACACUGGGACUGAGACACGGCCCAGACUCCUACGGGAGGCAGCAGUGGGGAAUAUUGCACAAUGGGCGCAAGCCUGAUGCAGCGACGCCGCGUGAGGGAUGGAGGCCUUCGGGUUGUGAACCUCUUUCGCCAGUGAAGCAGGCCUGCCUCGUUUGUGGGUGGGUUGACGGUAGCUGGAUAAGAAGCGCCGGCUAACUACGUG